CCAACGGUAGCAAAUGGAGUGGCUAACGAUUAACUCUUCAAUAUACGACGAUUUAGAUGGUUAAAAAAUUAUUUUAAACGAAUUACUAAAGCAGCGCACUAUUUUAAGAAGAGGACUUGGGUGAUAAAUAAGCGGAGAAGCCCACAAAGAAGUUGUCCUCAGUUUUAAACUUUGAUAAUUCAGUGCAUUGCUGCUGAAUAAUAGUUGUCAACGUCUUGUAAUCAUGCCACGUGAUGUCGCUGUUGGCUACCGAACUUAGGCUAAGAUAUGUUUUGGUUAGACCUUGGGUGAAGUGA